CCUACGGGAGGCAGCAGUGGGGAAUAUUGGACAAUGGGCGAAAGCCUGAUCCAGCAAUGCCGCGUGAGUGAUGAAGGCCUUAGGGUUGUAAAGCUCUUUUACCAGGGAUGAUAAUGGCAGUACCUGGAGAAUAAGCUCCGGCUAACUCCGUGCCAGCAGCCGCGGUAAUACGGAGGGAGCUAGCGUUGUUCGGAAUUACUGGGCGUAAAGCGUACGUAGGCGGUUAUUCAAGUCAGAGGUGAAAGCCUGGAGCUCAACUCCAGAACUGCCUUUGAAACUAGAUAGCUAGAAUCACGGAGAGGUUAGUGGAAUUCCGAGUGUAGAGGUGAAAUUCGUAGAUAUUCGGAAGAACACCAGUGGCGAAGGCGACUAACUGGACGUGUAUUGACGCUGAGGUACGAAAGCGUGGGGAGCAAACAGGAUUAGAUACCCUGGUAGUCCACGCCGUAAACGAUGAUAACUAGCUGUUCGGUCUCUACGAGACUGAGUGGCGCNGCUACGACAUAAGUUAUCCGUCCGUCGGGUAGGUACGGUACGCGAGAAGUUAAACGUAACGUAAAGUAAGUAAGUUAGUUACGUCGUUAGAGAGCGACGACGACGACGACGGAGGAGGAG
rnacentral:rRNA from 1 species